UACGAAGGGGGCUAGCGUUGUUCGGAAUCACUGGGCGUAAAGCGCACGUAGGUGGAUCUUUAAGUCAGGGGUGAAAUCCCGAGGCUCAACCUCGGAACUGCCUUUGAUACUGGGGAUCUCGAGUCCGGGAGAGGUGAGUGGAAUUGCGAGUGUAGAGGUGAAAUUCGUAGAUACUCGCAAGAACACCAGUGGCGAAGGCGGCUCACUGGCCCGGUACUGACGCUGAGGUGCGAAAGCGUGGGGAGCAAACAGG
rnacentral:rRNA from 1 species